rnacentral:rRNA from 1 species
GAUGAACGCUGGCGGCGUGCCUAAUACAUGCAAGUCGAGCGAACAGAUGAGGAGCUUGCUCCUCUGACGUUAGCGGCGGACGGGUGAGUAACACGUGGAUAACCUACCUAUAAGACUGGGAUAACUUCGGGAAACCGGAGCUAAUACCGGAUAAUAUAUUGAACCGCAUGGUUCAAGAGUGAAAGACGGUUUUGCUGUCACUUAUAGAUGGAUCCGCGCCGCAUUAGCUAGUUGGUAAGGUAACGGCUUACCAAGGCAACGAUGCGUAGCCGACCUGAGAGGUUGAUCGGCCACACUGGAACUGAGACACGGUCCAGACUCCUACGGGAGGCAGCAGUAGGGAAUCUUGCGCAAUGGGCGAAAGCCUGACGGAGCAACGCCGCGUGAGUGAUGAAGGUCUUCGGAUCGUAAAACUCUGUUAUUAGGGAAGAACAAAUGUGUAAGUAACUAUGCACGUCUUGACGGUACCUAAUCAGAAAGCCACGGCUAACUACGUG